rnacentral:rRNA from 1 species
GAAAAGAAACCAACAGGGAUUGCCUCAGUAACGGCGAGUGAAGCGGCAAAAGCUCAAAUUUGAAAUCUGGCACUAUUGGUGUCCGAGUUGUAAUUUGGAGAGGCAACUUCAGGUAGGGUCCAGUCUAUGUUCCUUGGAACAGGACAUCAUAGAGGGUGAGAAUCCCGUUCUUGGCUGGAUGUCCUUGCCGGUAUGUAGUGCCUUCUACGAGUCGAGUUGUUUGGGAAUGCAGCUCAAAAUGGGUGGUAAAUUUCAUCUAAAGCUAAAUAUUGGCGAGAGACCGAUAGCGCACAAGUAGAGUGAUCGAAAGAUGAAAAGCACUUUGAAAAUAGAGUCAAAAAGUACGUGAAAUUGUUGAAAGGGAAGCGCUUGAGACCAGACUCAGUCUUCGGCAAACAGCUAUCCUUCUGGGUGGUGCACUUGCCUUAGACUGGGCCAGCAUCAGUUGGGACGGUGAGAUAAAGGCCAGGGGAAUGUGACUCCAUUUAGGAGUGUUAUAGACCUUGGUGCCAUGCCACCUGCCCUGACUGUGGACCGCGCUUUGGCUAGGAUGCUGGCGUAAUGGUCUUCA